UACGGAGGGUGCAAGCGUUAUCCGGAUUCACUGGGUUUAAAGGGUGCGUAGGCGGGUAAGUAAGUCCGUGGUGAAAUCUCUGAGCUUAACUCAGAAACUGCCGUGGAUACUAUUUGCCUUGAAUAUUGUGGAGGUGAGCGGAAUAUGUCAUGUAGCGGUGAAAUGCUUAGAUAUGACAUAGAACACCGAUUGCGAAGGCAGCUCACAAAGCCACUAUUGACGCUGAGGCACGAAAGCGUGGGGAUCAAACAGG
rnacentral:rRNA from 1 species